rnacentral:lncRNA from 1 species
UGUGAUAAAGUGUAAAUAACUGAAUUUUCAACCAUGGUUUGAAGUCAGCUUUCAGGGCAUUAUGUCUUGUUUUGAUGAAAAGAGAUCACUCUAUACCCCCCUUUUUAAAGGAAAAUUAUCGCAAGAGAAUCAGGAUGUGUAAAGCUAACAUGCAUCGCAAAAAACCAAAGGUAAUUGAAAACUCCUGAGACAUUUUCUGGAGUAGAAUGGGUAGUGAAGACCCAUGUCAGCCAUCAGAGGACUCCGGAAACCAGGAGAGCUGCCUGCUGUGUCAAGGCUGGCCUGAGGGCAUUUGCUGAGCAAAGAGAAACCCAGGAACGGAGAUCAACAGUCUUUUCCCACCCCACCUCUUGAUCUGUCUGAUUUACCCACAGAAAGCCAGCCAGGAUCCCCUAGGAGAGUCACUAGGCCCAGAAUGGAGUCCUCAGGGCUGCAGGGGACUGUGAUGCUAACAGUUAAACCUGCUUAGGACUUCAAAGAAUUGACGGGGGACUAACGCUAUCCCCAGCAUGGCCUCCUAGAUCUGAAUAAACUGGCAGUCCUUCUGUCUCUUUCCCAGUUUGCCUGCUUCCCCUUAGCCUUGAGCAGAACAAGCUGGAAUACCCCUACCACCACCUCCUGUUUCCCACCUUGCCACACCUGUGUUGUGAGUGCCAACCUGGGAGCCCUUGGACACUUCCAGAGGGCUCCCACAGAGAGGCUGGUCACCACCUCUGUAAUAGGCUGAGGAAAGCCAAGUGAGAAGAUUCAUUUACUUCGGGCAAGUUAUUUAACCUCUGAGCCUGUUUUUCUCUUCAUUGUUGAUUACUAACCUUGUCCAAAAAGCUCUUGAAGGGUAGGGCUUUUCCUUCACUUCUACUGUAUCCCUUCCCCAACAAAUAUCUGGCACUGAGGAGCUCAAUAAAGGUUUUGUCAAGUGAUGAAUGGUCCAGCUCCGGUAGCUUCUAUCAGCUUUGGGAGAGAGCCAAAGGCCCCCUGUCCAGCUCUCACUUUCCUUCCAUCUGCACUGGGCUAGCUACUUAUCCUAACAUCUUCUCUUGGAGAAUGGGAAAGCCAGCCUUUGAUACACUUCUGGUUUCCUGUGGCCUAUGCCCUAGGCUGAUUUUACACUAAGCUUUCUGAGAGGUUAGGGACCUCGAAUAUUGCAUUCUUCCUUUAUUGUCUUCUGGUUAUUUAUCCUAACAAGGGAGCAGGGGGACAGGCUGAGUUUGGGGAAAGAGCCUGUCUGCAUUUUAACUGCCUGGGGCAUUUUAAGGAGCUUGAAUUCCUUCUUGGCAGGAAGGGGACAUUGAAAUCAGUUAAUUUACUUUGGACCAUUUAUUUAACUUCUGAGCCCAUUUUUAUCUUCAUUAUUAUUAUUUUUAAAUGGUAGCUGAUUCUGUUCACAGCUAUUUAUUUUUAUGCUCCUUUUUUUUUUUUUUUUUUUUUUUUUGAGGAAGAUGAGCCCUGAGCUAACAUCUGCUGCCAGUCCUCC